UACCAGCACCCCGAGUGGUCGGGACGAUUAUUGGGCCUAAAGCAUCCGUAGCCGGUUUUACAAGUCCUCCGUUAAAUCCAGCUGCUUAACAGAUGGGCUGCGGAGGAUACUAUAAGACUAGGAGGCAGGAGAGGCAAGCGUUACUCAGUGGGUAGGGGUAAAAUCCGUUGAUCCAUUGAAGACCACCAGUGGCGAAGGCGGCUUGCCAGAAUGCGCUCGACGGUGAGGGAUGAAAGCUGGGGGAGCAAACCGG
rnacentral:rRNA from 1 species